UGAGGCGCCAGUGGCCUGGAGUCUGGAAGGCCCUGAGCGGCGCCAGGCGACCGGCCUCGCCACAACUUGCCCAGACGAGACACGCUUCAUCUUGCACCCUGGAAGAAGGAGUCCGCCCGCCUGCUCCUCGACCUCCACGAGCCCCGCCUGAGCCAGCAGAGCCCCUGGGAUCUGGGUCCCCUGAGACUCUCCGUCAGCCUGCAGCGCCCGGUACCCGCCCAGGAGCGCGCAGCUGGGGUGUUGGGGAUACAUCAGUGAGCAAGAGAGACCACAGCCCUUGUUCCCGCUGAUCCUGCAGCCCAGUGGAUGGAGCCCUCAGUCCACAGACCUGCCAGGAAAGAAAAAAAUUUUCCUGGUGGUUGGUCCAAGCAGGGACUCCCCGGUGGAUUGAGGAAUGUCUGGCUUUCCCUCAGCAUCUUGAUCUCUGUGGUAACCACUGGCAGCCCC